rnacentral:tRNA from 1 species
GUGAUGAUGGCUCAGUGGUUAAGAGCACUGGCUGCUCUUCCAGAGGUCCUGAGUUCAAUUCCCAGCAACCACA